rnacentral:rRNA from 1 species
UACAUGGGGUGCAAACGUUGCUCGGAAUUAUUGGGCGUAAAGGGUGCGUAGGCGGCGCGGUAAGUCGGGUGUGAAAUCUUGGAGCUUAACUCCGAAACUGCAUUCGAUACUGCCGUGCUUGAGGACUGGAGAGGAGACUGGAAUUUACGGUGUAGCGGUGAAAUGCGUAGAUAUCGUAAGGAAGACCAGUGGCGAAGGCGGGUCUCUGGACAGUUCCUGACGCUGAGGCACGAAGGCCAGGGGAGCAAACGGG